GUUACAGCCCCGAGCAAUGCGGCAGGAUCCCCGACUGGCGAUCGCAGGCGAAACUUUGCUGCGAGCCGACCAUGUGUGUGUGCGCGAGAGGGAGCGUGAGCGAGUUGCAUCCAAAAGUUUCUCACAAGCUUAAAAAGGAAAAACGAAAAAUUGACAACCGUUACACAGAAGAGCCUACAAAAGCUGCAGCAGCACAAGGGGUGAAGGAGCAGCACCAGACACAGGCUUAGAGCGGCCAGUAUGACAGACCAAUUUCAUUCACCCAAAAAGCAGAUUUGAGGAGCAAGAAAGUAGUGAAAGUUUCCUGCAGCAACAGGAAAAUCUGAUAUUUCAGAAUUCCUCAAGAUUUCCCCCCUGGAUCAUCUAUUACCUGCCGCCUUAUAGGGAAAAAAAGUUUCGUUUCUGAAAGAUAGUUUUAUUGAUUUCAAGAAUUAAUGUGAGUGCUUCAGGUGACUGGAUUUUUCAAAACCCAGUUGUAUAAUUGCAAAAACUUAAUAAAUGU